AAAUCCGUUGGUUUUAUAGACCG
rnacentral:tRNA from 1 species